rnacentral:lncRNA from 1 species
UUUUUUUUUUUUUGGCCACUCUGUGGCAUAUGCAAUUUCAGGGCCAGGGAUCAGAGCCAAGCCACAGUUUUGACCCAAGCCACAGCUGCAGCAAUGCCAGAUCCCUAACCCACUGUGCCAGGUGGAGGAUCGAACCUGCAUCCCAGCGCUCCCAAGAAGCCACCAAUUCUGUUCCGAGCCCAGGGACUGAAUCUGAGCCACAGCUGAGACAGACAUGGCAGGUGCAGCAGUGCUGGAUCCUUUAAACCCACUGCACCAGGCUGGGGAUCAAACCUGGGCUUCCACAGUGACUUAAGCUGAUGCAGUCAGAUUCUUAACCCACUGUGCCACAGUGGGAACUCUGAGGCAAAGCUUUUUGAAAGAGAAGAAAAGACAAGUUUGGACAUACUGGGUUUGGGGUCCAUGAGUGACAGCCAGGUAGAGCCAUCCCAGAGGUGCCACCUUUUAUGUCACCCUCCCAUUUAUCACACAUGCAUGGCUGAUUCUGCAAACCACGGGAGUUUAACAGAGACAUAUCUAAUGAGUAGAAUCCAUCUAUUCCUCCUCAGAGAUGAAAUGCCUCCCUGCCUUAGAAUUCUACUACUUCCUGAAGCCUGGAGAGAGGAUGGUACAAUGGAAAAGCUGUUACAGCACCACAGGCACUGAGUGAGCUGGAUAACUUCCUGUGCAGCUGAAGCCUUGCUCUCAUGAUCCCUGGGAAGAUGCUCACCUGCAGAGCUCCCCUCUGCACUGCGCACGCUCUUCAUCACCUGCCUCCCUGGGAUAACGUGUGCUGCCUGCAUCUACACCAUAAAAACUUCCCCUGCAGAACUGGCUGUACAUUCACAAAGCUGGAGGUGACUUCCAAGACCAGCUACAAUGAGGACAAGGCUGGCUCCGAGCAAAUUACCUUUGUCAUCAAAGGACCUUAAUCGAAUGCCACCAAGCUAUCAUAGCAAAAUGGCCUUGCACAAAUACCGUCUCCUGGCCAAGCUUAGGAUCUGCCUAGCACUCAAAUUAUUUGCAAAAUGUUUCCUAUCCAGGCCCACCUAUAUUCUGCUCUCCUUAGAGCCACAUUCAGUUUCUUAAACCUGCCUCAUCACUCUUUGUGCUGCCCUGACUGCUCUUCCGGAUGUAACCCAAGGGGUCAAGGCAUCAAAACCCCCACUGGGUCAUCAUCAUCUCUCCUGGGAGGUGUCCAGCCCAUCUCAGCAAGGUGGGUUUGGGGUUCCUCUGUCCUGAGCUCUGCCAAGGCACGGUACUGUAUCUACCCACUCAUGAUUCAGCAUCUUCUGCUAAACUCUGACCUGCGUGCAGAUGUGUACCUGGCCCCAGUAUCUUCCAUCCUUACACUUUUCACAGGGCUGGAUGCCAGCAAGUAGUAGUUAGUGCCCAGUUGAGCUACUCCCCGUCAUGAAAUCAUUUCCUAUUUAUUCCAAACAACACAGAGGAUCAUCCCUUAGAAUAAAUGCUUGGGGCCACCUUUAGCUGUAUUCUGCUGGCUCCCCAUCAUGCAAUCUGCCCUCCACCCUCCACAACAGCCCCCUUCAUUUUCCCGUUCUAUUAUUCCAGUGUCUGCAACUCGCUGCUUGCAAAUGAUCAUCGCACCUGCAACAAAAGCAUCAUUUACAAAUUGCUUUAUAGGCUAUCAAGCAUCAGCACGAGUCAUGACUAUCUUGGUGCUCAUAAAAUCCUAGUGUGGGGUAUCUCCUCAUCACAGUCAGAAUGGCCAUCAUUAACAAGCCUACAAAUAACAAAUGCUGGAGAGGGUAUGGAGAAAAGGGAACUCUUCUUCACUGUUGGUGGGAAUGUAAAUUGGUACAACUGCUACGGAAAACAGUAUGGAGUUUCCUCAGAAAACUGAAUAGAGAACUACCACGUGAUCCAGCAAUCCCCACUCCUGGGCAUAUAUCUGGACAAAACCAUAAUUCAAAAAGAUAUAUGUACCCCUAUGUUCAUUGGAGCCCUAUUCACAACAGCCAAGAUAACCUAAAUAGAAACAACCUAAAUGUCCAUCAACAGGUGGAUGGAUUAAGAAGCUGUGGUAUGUAUAUACAAUGGAAUACUACUCAGCUAUAAAAAAGAAGGAAAUAAUGCCAUUUGUAGCAACACGGAUGCAACCAGAGAUUUUUAUAUUAUGUAAAGUAAGUCAGAAAGAGAAAGACAAAUAUCAUAUGAUUUCACUUGUAUAUGGAAUCUAAAAUGUGGCAUAAAUGAACCUAUCUACAAAACAGAAAUAAACUCAGAGACAUUGAGAACAGACUCGUGGUUGCCAAAAGGGAGAAGGGGAGGGAGUGGAAUGGACUUGGAGUUUGGGGUUGAUAGAUGCAAACUAUUACAUUUAGAAUGGAUAAGCAGUGAGGUCCUACUGUACAGCACAGGGAACUAACUAUAUUCAGUCUCUUGGAAUAGACCACGAUGGAAAAUAAUAUGAGAAAAAGAAUGUGUAUACGUAUAUGUAUAUAUACGUAUAAAUUGACUCAACACUGUAAAUCAAUUACACUCUAAUAAAAAAUAAAUUGAAAAAAAAAA